AACGGUAACGGCCGGCACUCGGAUGGACUGCCGGCGACAAGCCGGAGGAAGGUGGGAUGACGUCAAGUCAUCAUGGCCCUUAUGUCCAGGGCGACACACGUGCUACAAUGGCCGGCACAGCGGGAAGCGAGGGGGCGACCUUGAGCGGAUCCCUCAAAGCCGGUCUCAGUUCGGAUUGCAGUCUGCAACUCGACUGCAUGAAGUUGGAAUCGCUAGUAAUCGUGGAUCAGCCAAGCCGCGGUGAAUACGUUCCCGGGCCUU
rnacentral:rRNA from 1 species